rnacentral:rRNA from 1 species
CAGGCUUAACACAUGCAAGUCGAGGGGCAGCAUGGUCUUAGCUUGCUAAGGCCGAUGGCGACCGGCGCACGGGUGAGUAACACGUAUCCAACCUGCCGUCUACUCUUGGACAGCCUUCUGAAAGGAAGAUUAAUACAAGAUGGCAUCAUGAGUCCGCAUGUUCACAUGAUUAAAGGUAUUCCGGUAGACGAUGGGGAUGCGUUCCAUUAGAUAGUAGGCGGGGUAACGGCCCACCUAGUCUUCGAUGGAUAGGGGUUCUGAGAGGAAGGUCCCCCACAUUGGAACUGAGACACGGUCCAAACUCCUACGGGAGGCAGCAGUGAGGAAUAUUGGUCAAUGGGCGAGAGCCUGAACCAGCCAAGUAGCGUGAAGGAUGACUGCCCUAUGGGUUGUAAACUUCUUUUAUAAAGGAAUAAAGUCGGGUAUGGAUACCCGUUUGCAUGUACUUUAUGAAUAAGGAUCGGCUAACUCCGUGCCAGCAGCCGCGGUAAUACGGAGGAUCCGAGCGUUAUCCGGAUUUAUUGGGUUUAGAGGGAGCGUAGAUGGAUGUUUAAGUCAGUUGUGAAAGUUUGCGGCUCAACCGUAAAAUUGCAGUUGAUACUGGAUAUCUUGAGUGCAGUUGAGGCAGGCGGAAUUCGUGGUGUAGCGGUGAAAUGCUUAGAUAUCACGAAGAACUCCGAUUGCGAAGGCAGCCUGCUAAGCUGCAACUGACAUUGAGGCUCGAAAGUGUGGGUAUCAAACAGGAUUAGAUACCCUGGUAGUCCACACGGUAAACGAUGAAUACUCGCUGUUUGCGAUAUACUGCAAGCGGCCAAGCGAAAGCGUUAAGUAUUCCACCUGGGGAGUACGCCGGCAACGGUGAAACUCAAAGGAAUUGACGGGGGCCCGCACAAGCGGAGGAACAUGUGGUUUAAUUCGAUGAUACGCGAGGAACCUUACCCGGGCUUAAAUUGCAGAUGAAUUACGGUGAAAGCCGUAAGCCGCAAGGCAUCUGUGAAGGUGCUGCAUGGUUGUCGUCAGCUCGUGCCGUGAGGUGUCGGCUUAAGUGCCAUAACGAGCGCAACCCUUGUUGUCAGUUACUAACAGGUUCCGCUGAGGACUCUGACAAGACUGCCAUCGUAAGAUGUGAGGAAGGUGGGGAUGACGUCAAAUCAGCACGGCCCUUACGUCCGGGGCUACACACGUGUUACAAUGGGGGGUACAGAGGGUCGCUACCACGCGAGUGGAUGCCAAUCCCCAAAACCUCUCUCAGUUCGGACUGGAGUCUGCAACCCGACUCCACGAAGCUGGAUUCGCUAGUAAUCGCGCAUCAGCCACGGCGCGGUGAAUACGUUCCCGGGCCUUGUACACACCGCCCGUCAAGCCAUGGGAGCCGGGGGUACCUGAAGUGCGUAACCGCGAGGAGCGCCCUAGGGUAAAACUGGUGACUGGGGCUAAGUCAUAACA